rnacentral:piRNA from 1 species
UGAGAUUAACUGUUUUGCCUU